AACGAACGCUGGCGGCAUGCCUAACACAUGCAAGUCGAACGAAGGCUUCGGCCUUAGUGGCGCACGGGUGCGUAACGCGUGGGAAUCUACCCGUUGGUUCGGAAUAACAGCUGGAAACGGCUGCUAAUACCGGAUGAUGACGAAAGUCCAAAGAUUUAUCGCCAGAGGAUGAGCCCGCGUUGGAUUAGGUAGUUGGUGGGGUAAAUGCCUACCAAGCCGACGAUCCAUAGCUGGUCUGAGAGGAUGAUCAGCCACACUGGGACUGAGACACGGCCCAGACUCUCACGGAAGGAAGCAGUGCGGAAUAUUGGACACUGGGCGCAAGCCGGAUGCAGUCAGGCCGCGUGGGUGAUGAAGGCCCGAGGGUUGUAUAGCUCUGUUACCCGGGAAGAUAAUGACGGUACCGGACGAAUAAGCCACGGCUAACUCCGUG
rnacentral:rRNA from 1 species